rnacentral:rRNA from 1 species
CGGGGUGAGUAAUGUCUGGGAGACUGCCCGAUGGAGGGGGGUAACUACUGGAAACGGUAGCUAAUACCGCAUAACGUCGCAAGACCAAAGAGGGGGACCUUAGGGCCUCUUGCCAUCGGAUGUGCCCAGAUGGGAUUAGCUAGUAGGUGGGGUAAUGGCUCACCUAGGCGACGAUCCCUAGCUGGUCUGAGAGGAUGACCAGCCACACUGGGACUGAGACACGGUCCAG